CUGGCUCAGAGCGAACGCUGGCGGCAGGCUUAACACAUGCAAGUCGAGCGGGCCCUUCGGGGUCAGCGGCGGACGGGUGAGUAACGCGUGGGAACGUGCCUUCUGGUUCGGAAUAACCCUGGGAAACUAGGGCUAAUACCGGAUACGCCCUUAUGGGGAAAGGUUUACUGCCGGAAGAUCGGCCCGCGUCUGAUUAGCUAGUUGGUGGGGUAACGGCCUACCAAGGCGACGAUCAGUAGCUGGUCUGAGAGGAUGAUC
rnacentral:rRNA from 1 species